CCCAGACUCCUACGGGAGGCAGCAGUGGGGGAUAUUGCACAAUGGGGGGAACCCUGAUGCAGCGACGCCGCGUGGGUGAAGAAGUAUUUCGGUAUGUAAAGCCCUAUCGGCAGGGAAGAAAUUGGACGGUACCUGACUAAGAAGCCCCGGCUAACUACGUGCCAGCAGCCGCGGUAAUACGUAGGGGGCAAGCGUUAUCCGGAUUCACUGGGUGUAAAGGGAGCGUAGACGGCCAUGCAAGCCUGGAGUGAAAGCCCGGGGCCCAACCCCGGGACUGCUCUGGGAACUGUGCGGCUGGAGUGCGGGAGGGGCAGGCGGAAUUCCUGGUGUAGCGGUGAAAUGCGUAGAUAUCAGGAGGAACACCGGCGGCGAAGGCGGCCUGCUGGACCGUGACUGACGUUGAGGCUCGAGAGCGUGGGGAGCAAACAGGAUUAGAUACCCCCGUACUA
rnacentral:rRNA from 1 species